rnacentral:rRNA from 1 species
CCGCGUGGAGGAGGACGGUCUUCUGGAUGGUAACCUGCUUUUCUUGGGGAAAAAUUCCCCUUCUGCGCGUGGAUUUGACGGUACUCUAGGAAUAAGCAUCGGCUAACUCCGUGCCAGCAGCCGCGGUAAUACGGAGGAUGCGAGCGUUGUCCGGAUUUACUGGGUUUAAAGGGUGCGUAGGCGGGCGAUUAAGUGAGAGUUGAAAGGCAGUCGCUCAACCAUUGUAAUGGUUCUGAUACUGGUUGUCUUGAGAGUAGUGGAGGCAGAUGGAAUGAGUGGAGUAGCGGUGAAAUGCAUAGAUACCACAUGGAACACCGAUUGCGAAGGCAGUCUGCUACGCUGUAUCUGACGCUGAGGCACGAAAGCGUGGGGAGCAAACAGGAUUAGAUACCCUGGUAGUCCACGCCCUAAACGAUGGUUACUCGGUGUUCGCCUGAAUAGGUGAUUGCCUAAGCGAAAGCGAUAAGUAACCCACCUGGGGAGUACGACCGCAAGGUUGAAACUCAAAUGAAUUGACGG